rnacentral:rRNA from 1 species
AUUGAACGCUGGCGGCAGGCCUAACACAUGCAAGUCGAGCGGUUGAAGGGAGCUUGCUCCUGGUUUCAGCGGCGGACGGGUGAGGAAUGCCUAGGAAUCUGCCUGGGAGUGGGGGAUAACGUCCGGGAACGGGCGCUAAUACCGCAUACGUCCUGAGGGGGAAAGUGGGGGAUCUUCGGCCCUCACGCUAUCAGAUGAGCCUAGGUCGGAUUAGCUAGUUGGUGGGGUAAAGGCCUACCAAGGCGACGAUCCGUAACUGGUCUGAGAGGAUGAUCAGUCACACUGGAACUGAGACACGGUCCAGACUCCUACGGGAGACAGCAGUGGGGAAUAUUGGACAAUGGGCGAAAGCCUGAUCCAGCCAUGCCGCGUGUGUGAAGAAGGUCUUCGGAUUGUAAAGCACUUUAAGUUGGGAGGAAGGGCAGUAAGUUAAUACCUUGCUGUUUUGGCGUUACCAACAGAAUAAGCACCGGCUAACUUCGUG